rnacentral:rRNA from 1 species
UACGGAGGGUGCGAGCGUUGUCCGGAAUCACUGGGCGUAAAGGGCGCGUAGGCGGUCUGCUAAGCGUGCGGUGAAAGCCUGGGGCUCAACCCCAGGUCUGCCGUGCGAACUGGUGGACUUGAGCACUGUAGAGGCAGGUGGAAUUCCGGGUGUAGCGGUGGAAUGCGUAGAGAUCCGGAAGAACACCGGUGGCGAAGGCGGCCUGCUGGGCAGUAGCUGACGCUGAGGCGCGACAGCGUGGGGAGCAAACAGG